UUGCUAAGGAGGGCCUACGUCUGGUAUAAAAAGCAAAGCAUUUCUUUCUUCGGAUUCAUCUGUUCAAUAUGAACCCCACCACAGCAUCAUUAGUUUUCUUGUGUGUAAUAAUGUGUUUAAGCGGCCUUUCUACAACUGAUAAGACAAAACAGAAUGAUGAUGUAGCCGACAUUAAAAACAGACUAGGACAUCUUGAACAGUUGAUUGGACAACUAGUCACCGGGAAUUCAUCUUCGGAUGUUCUAAAAUUUGGUGUACAAAUUCAACCAGCAAGCUGAAUUACAUUUAUGUUUAAUUUUGCGAGUUGAUAAAAAUUUUGUGGAAAUGGAGAUCAGGAAUGAAGAAGCCAUUUGAGAUGACCCAGUUAUUGGACGAGGUCGACUAAGGUCACCACCUGACCUUGCUAUUAGGUCAAGGACAGCUACAUCAUCAUCAUCUAGGGCUAAGAAAACAAAGUGUAUUAACUUUGUAUCAAUUCAAUUGAAAACAAAAAC